AGGAGCUCGGAGUCUGGCUCCCGUAAAAGUCCGGAUGAAGUCUUCCUUUAGUCGAAGUCGGAGACGAGGUCCGGCUCCCGUGGGAGUCCGGACGGAAUCUUCCCGCAGUUGGAGUCAGAGACGAGAUCUGGCUCCCAUAGGAGCCCGGGCGAAGUCUACCUGCAAUCAAAGCCAGGGGCGAAGUCCGGCUCCCUUAGGAGUCCAGACGAAGUUUACCAGC
rnacentral:lncRNA from 1 species